rnacentral:rRNA from 1 species
AGGGAAUUUUCGGCAAUGGGGGCAACCCUGACCGAGCAAUGCCGCGUGAACGAAGAAGGUCUUCGGACUGCAAAGUUCUGUUAUCAGGAAAGAAUAGCAUGGUGAGGAAAUGCGCCAUGUAUGACGGUACCUGAUGAGGAAGCCCCGGCUAACUAUGUGCCAGCAGCCGCGGUAACACAUAGGGGGCGAGCGUUAUCCGGAAUUAUUGGGCGUAAAGCGUGCGUAGGCGGUCUGUUAAGUCUGGCGUGAAAUACCACAGCUUAACUGUGGAGGGUCGUUGGAAACUGAUAGACUUGAGUACGGUAGAGGUAAGUGGAAUUCCAAGUGGAGCGGUGGAAUGCGUAGAUAUUUGGAGGAACACCAGUGGCGAAGGCGGCUUACUGGGCCGGAACUGACGCUGAGGCACGAAAGCGAGGGGAGCAAAC